rnacentral:rRNA from 1 species
AUGUCUAUGACGGGAUCCUCAUGCUCACUACAUGCAUGCCGGAUUGCACGCGCGCCCGAUGGAGGGCUGUGGCGCACACAUGGACCGAACUGCAGGGCAUCGGGUGGAAUCUCGCUGGCGGCGGAGCACCCAUGCGCUCCCUCGAUCGCAUUGUGCGACGGAUCCAGCGGCCGGGGACGCAAUGUGAGGUGCGGGUGCUCACUAUUUGCCGCCCCAUGUGUGGCCACGGCCUCGACCAUUGACCUCGCCAUCAAUGGCGGGGAAGGGGAUGCAAUCCUCUUUCUGGCGGUGGGGAUGCAAUCCAGUGUGGGAGGCAGAGAGGAGUGA